GAUGGUUCUCGAGUGAUGCACCCCGGAAUUGGGCUCCCUCCUCUCUGGUUCCGGGUGCGCCCCCCAAGAAUCACA
rfam:Myotis davidii contig211071, whole genome shotgun sequence.